rnacentral:rRNA from 1 species
UACGGAGGGUCCAAGCGUUAUCCGGAUUCAUUGGGUUUAAAGGGUACGUAGGCGGAUAAAUAAGUCAGUGGUGAAAGCCCGAAGCUCAACUUCGGAACUGCCAUUGAUACUGUUUAUCUUGAAUUUGGUUGAAGUGGGCGGAAUAUGACAUGUAGCGGUGAAAUGCAUAGAUAUGUCAUGGAACACCAAUAGUGAAGACAGCUCACUAAGCCAAUAUUGACGCUGAGGUACGAAAGCAUGGGUAGCGAAC